GCUGGGUGGAUUAGUGGCGAACGGGUGAGUAACACGUGAGUAACCUGCCCUUAACUCUGGGAUAAGCCUGGGAAACUGGGUCUAAUACCGGAUAGGAGCGUCCACCGCAUGGUGGGUGUUGGAAAGAUUUAUCGGUUUUGGAUGGACUCGCGGCCUAUCAGCUUGUUGGUGAGGUAAUGGCUCACCAAGGCGACGACGGGUAGCCGGCCUGAGAGGGUGACCGGCCACACUGGGACUGAGACACGGCCCAGACUCCUACGGGAGGCAGCAGUGGGGAAUAUUGCACAAUGGGCGCAAGCCUGAUGCAGCGACGCCGCGUGAGGGAUGACGGCCUUCGGGUUGUAAACCUCUUUCAGUAGGGAAGAAGCGAAAGUGACGGUACCUGCAGAAGAAGCACCGGCUAACUACGUGCCAGCAGCCGCGGUAAUACGUAGGGUGCGAGCGUUAUCCGGAAUUAUUGGGCGUAAAGAGCUCGUAGGCGGUUUGUCGCGUCUGUCGUGAAAGUCCGGGGCUUAACCCCGGAUCUGCGGUGGGUACGGGCAGACUAGAGUGCAGUAGGGGAGACUGGAAUUCCUGGUGUAGCGGUGGAAUGCGCAGAUAUCAG
rnacentral:rRNA from 1 species